UACGUAGGGUGCAAGCGUUAAUCGGAAUUACUGGGCGUAAAGCGUGCGCAGGCGGCUUUGCAAGACAGAUGUGAAAUCCCCGGGCUUAACCUGGGAACUGCAUUUGUGACUGCAUGGCUGGAGUGCGGCAGAGGGGGAUGGAAUUCCGCGUGUAGCAGUGAAAUGCGUAGAUAUGCGGAGGAACACCGAUGGCGAAGGCAAUCCCCUGGGCCUGCACUGACGCUGAGGCGCGAAAGCGUGGGUAGCAAACAGG
rnacentral:rRNA from 1 species